CCUACGGGAGGCAGCAGUGAGGAAUAUUGGUCAAUGGGCGCGAGCCUGAACCAGCCAAGUCGCGUGAGGGAAGACGGUCCUAUGGAUUGUAAACCUCUUUUGUCGGGGAGCAAAAGACGCCACGCGUGGCGUUCCGAGAGUACCCGAAGAAAAAGCAUCGGCUAACUCCGUGCCAGCAGCCGCGGUAAUACGGAGGAUGCGAGCGUUAUCCGGAUUUAUUGGGUUUAAAGGGUGCGCAGGCGGAAGAUCAAGUCAGCGGUAAAAUUGAGAGGCUUAACCUCUUCGAGCCGUUGAAACUGGUUUUCUUGAGUGAGUGAGAGGAAUGUGGAAUGCGAGGUGUAGCGGUGAAAUGCAUAGAUAUCACGAAGAACUCCGAUUGCGAAAGCAGCAUACCGGCGCGCAACUGACGCUCAUGCACGAAAGUGUGGGGAGCGAACAGGAUUAGAUACCCGAGUAGUC
rnacentral:rRNA from 1 species